rnacentral:rRNA from 1 species
UUAGAAGCAGCCAUCCUUUAAAGAAAGCGUAACAGCUCACUGGUCUAAAUAAGGGUUCCUGCGGCGAAGAUGUAACGGGACUAAAGGUAUUCACCGAAGCUUAGGGUGUACAGUUUACUGUACGCGGUAGCGGAGCGUUCCGUAAGUGGUUGAAGCCGAAGGGUAACCGACGGUGGACAUAUCGGAAGUGCGAAUGCUGACAUGAGUAGCGAUAAAGAGGGUGAGAUGCCCUCUCGCCGAAAGACCAAGGGUUCCUGCUCAACGCUAAUCGGAGCAGGGUUAGCCGGCCCCUAAGACGAGCCCGAAGGGGGUAGUCGAUGGGAACCACGUAAAUAUUCGUGGGCCUGAAGAUGUGUGACGAAUGGUGGAAGUUGUGUGUCCUUAUUGGAUUGGGCAUGCAGCCAAGCUGUUCCUGGAAAUAGCCUCUUCAUAUAGACCGUACCCGAAACCGACACAGGUGGUCAGGUA